rnacentral:rRNA from 1 species
GACGAACGCUGGCGGCGUGCCUAACACAUGCAAGUCGAACGGAAAGGCCCUGCUUUUGUGGGGUGCUCGAGUGGCGAACGGGUGAGUAACACGUGAGUAACCUGCCCUUGACUUUGGGAUAACUUCAGGAAACUGGGGCUAAUACCGGAUAGGAGCUCCUGCUGCAUGGUGGGCGCUGGUAAGUUUCGGUGGUUGGGGAUGGACUCGCGGCUUAUCAGCUUGUUGGUGGGGUAGUGGCUUACCAAGGCUUUGAGGGGUAGCCGACCUGAGAGGAGGACCGGCCACAUCAGGCCUGGGAUACGGCACAGACUCGAACGGGACGCAACGGUGGAGAAGAUUGCACAGUGGGCGGAAGGCUGAUGCGGCAACGCCGCGUGGGGGAUGAGGGGCUGCGGGUUGGGAUCCACAGUCGCCUGAGACGGGACGUGAGUGACGGUAAUGGGUGAAGAAGCACCGGCUAACUACGUG